ACCAAGCUCCUGGACAGUUGGAAAGACCUAAAGGAGGUAUAUCGAAUUCCAAAGAAAAGGCAAACUGAAAAGGAGAGCACAGUAACCGAACGAGGAAGGGAUGCUUUGGGCUUCAGAGAUCAAACAGUUGCCCCAAAGACUCCUAACAGGUCAAGAGAGAGAGACCCAGACAAACAAACUCAAAAUAAAGAGAAAAGGAAACGAAGGGGCUCCCUCUCACCACCACCUUCUGCCUAUGAGCGGGGAACAAAAAGGCCAGGUAGCAGAUAUGAUACACCAACUUCUAAAAAGAAAGUACGAAUUCAAGAUCGCAAUCAACUUUCUACAGAGGAGCGUUGAAAGUUGUUUGAGCAGGAGGUAGCUCAGCGGGAGGUUCAAAAACAACAGCAGCAGCUGCAGAACCUGGGAAUGGCGUCUCCACUGCCCUGUGACUCUCUUGGCUACCAUGCCCCUCAUCACCCCUUUGCUGGCUACCCACCAGGUUACCCCAUGCAGGCCUAUGUGGAUCCCAGCAAUCUUAAUGCUGGAAAGGUGCUCCUCCCCACACCCAGCAUGGAUCCUGUGUGUUCUCCUUCUCCUUAUGAUUAUCCUCAGCCCUUGGUGGGACAUUCUACAGAACCCCUUGCUGCCCCUCCACCUGUGCCCAUGGUGCCACAUGUGGAAGUUUCCAGUUCACAGUAUGUGGCCCAAAGUGAUGGUGUGGUACACCAAGACUCCAGGGUCACCGUCCUGCCACUGCCAGCCCCAGGCCCAGUCCAGGGACAGAAUUAUGGUGUUUGGGAUUCAAACCAACAGUCCGUGAGUGUACAGCAGCAGUACUCUCCUGCACAGUCUCAAGCAACCUUAUAUUAUCAAGGACAGGCUGCUCCAACUGUCUGUGGUGUGACGUCACCCUAUUCACAGACAACUCCACCAAUUGUACAGGGUUAUGCCCAGCCAAGUCUUCAGUACAUCCAGGGACAGCAGAUUCUCACAGCUCACCCACGAGGAGUGGUGGUACAGCCAGCCACAGCCGUGACUACAAUAGUUGCACCAGGGCAGCCUCAGCCCUUCCAGCCACCUGAAAUGGUUGUGACAAAUAACCUCUUGGACUUACCACCCCCAUCUCCUCCCAAACCAAAAACCAUUGUCUUACCUCCCAACUGGAAGACAGCCCGAGACCCAGAAGGGAAGAUUUACUACUACCAUGUGAUCACAAGGCAGACUCAGUGGGAUCCUCCUACUUGGGAAAGCCCAGGAGAUGAUGCCAGCCUUGAGCAUGAAGCUGAGAUGGACCUGGGAACCCCAACAUAUGAUGAAAAUCCCAUGAAGACCUCAAAAAAGCCUAAGACAGCAGAAGCAGACGCCUCCAGUGAACUGGCUAAGAAAAGCAAACAAGUAUUCAGAAAAGAGAUGUCCCAGUUCAUCGUCCAGUGCCUGAACCCUUACUGGAAACCU